AGGGGAAUAUUGGACAAUGGGCGAAAGCCUGAUCCAGCCAUGCCGCGUGUGUGAAGAAGGCCUUUUGGUUGUAAAGCACUUUAAGCGAGGAGGAGGCUACUUAGAUUAAUACUCUAGGAUAGUGGACGUUACUCGCAGAAUAAGCACCGGCUAACUCUGCGCCAGCAGCCGCGGUAAUACAGAGGGUGCGAGCGUUAAUCGGAUUUACUCGGCGUAAAGCGUGCGUAGGCGGUUUUUUAAGUCGGAUGUGAAAUCCCUGAGCUUAACUUAAGAAUUGCAGUCGAUACUGGGAAGCUAGAGUAUGGGAGAGGAUGGUAGAAUUCGAGGUGGAGCGGGGAAAUGCGUAGAGAACUGGAGGAAUACCGAUGGCGAAGGCAGCCAUCUUGCCUAAUUCUGACGCUGAGGUACGAAAGCAUGGGGAGCAAACAGG
rnacentral:rRNA from 1 species